GGCUCAGGACGAACGCUGGCGGCGUGCUUAACACAUGCAAGUCGAACGGAAAGGCCCUUCGGGGUACUCGAGUGGCGAACGGGUGAGUAACACGUGGGUGAUCUGCCCUGCACUUUGGGAUAAGCCUGGGAAACUGGGUCUAAUACCGAAUAGGACCACGCGCUUCAUGGUGUGUGGUGGAAAGCUUUUGCGGUGUGGGAUGGGCCCGCGGCCUAUCAGCUUGUUGGUGGGGUAAUGGCCUACCAAGGCGACGACGGGUAGCCGGCCUGAGAGGGUGACCGGCCACACUGGGACUGAGAUACGGCCCAGACUCCUACGGGAGGCAGCAGUGGGGAAUAUUGCGCAAUGGGGGAAACCCUGACGCAGCAACGCCGCGUGAAGGAUGAAGGUUUUCGGAUCGUAAACUUCUUUGAUGAGGGACGAAAAAUGACGGUACCUCAAAAACAAGCCACGGCUAACUACGUGCCAGCAGCCGCGGUAAUACGUAGGUGGCGAGCGUUGUCCGGAAUUACUGGGCGUAAAGCGCGUGUAGGCGGUCCGAUAAGUCGAAUGUGAAGGCCCGAGGCUCAACUUCGGAAGUGCAUUCGAAACUGUCGGGCUUGAGUACGGGAGAGGGAAGUGGAAUUCCUGGUGUAGAGGUGAAAUUCGUAGAGAUCAGGAGGAACACCGGUGGCGAAGGCGGCUUCCUGGGCUGCAACUGACGCUGAGGCGCGAAAGCGUGGGGAGCAAACAGGAUUAGAUACCCUGGUAGUCCACGCUGUAAACGAUAAAAAAGUAGGUGUAGGGGAGGCAGGUUUUUUGUGCCGGAGCAAAACGCAAUAAAUAAUUCGCCUGGGGAGUACGGCCGCAAGGUUGAAACUCAAAAAAAUUGACGGGGGCCCGCACAAGCAGCGGAGCAUGUUGUUUUAUUCAAAGCAACGCGAAGAACCUUACCAGGGCUUGACAUCCCACUAAUCCGCUGGAAACAGUGGAGUGCCGCAAGGAAAGUGGAGACAGGUGGUGCAUGGUUGUCGUCAGCUCGUGUCGUGAGAUGUUGGGUUAAGUCCCGCAACGAGCGCAACCCUUGUCGUCAGUUACCAGCGCGUUAAGGCGGGGACUCUGACGAGACAGCCGGGGUAACUCGGAGGAAGGUGGGGACGACGUCAAAUCAUCAUGCUCCUUAUGUCCUGGGCUACAAACGUGCUACAAUGGCCGCAACAAAGGGCAGCGAGGGCGCAAGCCGGAGCAAAUCCCAUCAAAGCCGGUCUCAGUUCGGAUAGCAGGCUGAAACUCGCCUGCUCGAAGUCGGAAUCGCUAGUAACGGUAGGUCAGCUAUACUACCGCGA
rnacentral:rRNA from 1 species